rnacentral:rRNA from 1 species
CCUACGGGAGGCAGCAGUGGGGAAUCUUGCACAAUGGGGGAAACCCUGAUGCAGCGACGCCGCGUGAGUGAAGAAGUAAUUCGUUAUGUAAAGCUCUAUCAGCAGGGAAGAAAAUGACGGUACCUGAGUAAGAAGCCCCGGAUAACUACGUGCCAGCAGCCGCGGCAAGACGUAGGGGGCAAGCGUUAUCCGUAUUUACGGGGUGUAAAGGUAGCGUAGACGUCAGUGCAAGUCUGGAGUGAAAGGCGGGGGCUCAACCCGCGGACUGCACAGGAAACUGGACGGCUCGAGUGCAGGAGGGGUAAGUGGAAUUCCUGGUGUAGCAGUGAAAUGCGUAGAUAUUAGGAGGAACACCAGUGGCGAAGGCGGGUUCCUGGACUGUAACUGACGUUGAGGCUCGAAAGCGUGGGGAGCAAACAGGAUUAGAUACCCCGGUAGUC